GAUGAACGCUAGCUACAGGCUUAACACAUGCAAGUCGAGGGACCGGCGCACGGGUGAGUAACACGUAUCCAACCUGCCCUUUACUCGGGGAUAGCCUUUCGAAAGAUAGAUUAAUACACUAUAUAGAGGGUGGGGAUGCGGUGCAUUAGGUUGUUGGUGAGGUAACGGCCAACCAAGCAGUCGAUGGAUAGGGGUUCGGAGGGGAAGGUGCACCGCAUUGGAACUGCGACAAGGUCGAAACUCCUACGAGGGGAAGCAGUGUGGGGUAUUGGUGAAGGGGCGGUAGCCUGAACAAGCCAAGUCGCUGGAAGGAUGAAGGAUUAUGGGUCGUAUACUUCUUUUAUGUAAGAAUAGGUAUUAUAUGAAUAAGGAUCGGCUAACUCCGUGCCAGCAGCCGCGGUAAUUC
rnacentral:rRNA from 1 species